UCUUCCUCACUUCAUCAUCACCAUAUUCACUUUCUCCUUUUAUUGAAACACAGAAAUUCCUCUCCCUAAAGAACCCUAAUCCCUAAUCGCCAUUUUUAAUUUGUACUUUCAUCUCACAACAACGUAAUCCUCAAAUUCCACAUCCACCGUCAACUAUUCCUCACAACCCGAACCACCUCCACAUUCCGAUUCCACCACCUCAUCACAAUCUGAACCGCCACCACCUUCCGAUUCCGCCACUAUCAUUUCCCGAACCAGCGAUGGUUUCCACACUCGCAAAAUCGAACAAAAUCCAAAACCACAAUCCCAAAUCCGACGAAAUCGACGAAACCUUACUUCAAAUUCAACGAAAUCGACGAAACCUUACUUCAUUUACGACUCUAUGGAUUCUAAUUCCUAACCCUAACCCUAAUUGUUCAUCUUCAUUAAUCUGUGUGUCACCUACAUCGAUUAAACAUUGGUGUAUCACCUGCAACGAUGGCUCCUAGUACCGCUGCGGCUCCUUGAAAUUUCAGAAAACUCAUUCAGAAAAGUAUGGUGUCAUUCAACUCAAACAACUCUACAAAGAUAAGGCAUCUACUCUAAAAAGAUACCCUGCUCAAUUAUCACUCACUACAUGGAUGUGUUUUAUAGGAGCAGCACAAUUAGCUGUUUUCACAGUGAUAGCAGAACAUAAUAACCAUACAGCAUGGAAUAUAGGGCUCAAUAUUGACUUGUCCUCCACAAUAUAUGGAGUUAAGUAUUAUAAUUAUUUCAUGAACAAGUAUAACAAAAUCUUGAAUUCUAACUUUAUCAAUUAUUAAUGACAGGGAAUUGUUGUUAGUGGUUUGUUGAUGUACAUUCAACUAUGGUGCACUGAGAAAAAAGGGCCAGUUUUUGUCCCAGUAUUUAUCCAUCUUAGUACCAUAUUUGUGGCAAUUUUGUCAUUCUCUGUUAGUUCUCAUAAAAUUUUCAGCAUCAUAGGUUCAUUUAUUGUCAUCAUGGGUCUGUACUUGUUGCUGUGGAGGAAAGAAGGUGACGGAGAGAUUGAUUUCAAGACCAAAAGUAAAUUGCAGAAUAUAGUGAGUAACUUUAGCUGGAAAGGUAGAGGCAUUGCAUAUAUGUCAGUUCUGUCAUUCUAUCAUUCUGACAUUCUCUGUCAGUUCUCAUAAAAUCUUCCCCAUAUUUGUAUUUAAGUUUUUCUUUGAUUCCUUGGAAGUGAAAAACCAGGAGGAAACGGGGAAAAAUGCUUCAGAGAAAGUGGGUUUUUCGCCAGUUUUAAACUCUGGCAUGGAUGGAGUUGCUGCCUUAAACUCCUUUGGAGGCAUGGUUGUAGUUCUGUAAGUAACUACGGCAUCAAUAAUAUAGGCUAAGGCAUAGUGGAAUGGAAGAAAAUGAUUUUGUUUUAUUGUAAAGUAUUUCAUAAAAGUUGUGAGCUUAGUGUGUAAUAUAGAUGUUUUAUCAAGUUUAUAGGCAACUCUGUUAACUUUCCAUGUUCAAGAAAAUUUUAUAACUUAGGUGGAAUAUUCAUUUGCCGUGACACAUGGGAAGUAGCUUUCACUAAAAAAUAAUCAUUGGAGCAGAAAAACAUAGAAAGUAGCUUUCACUAAAAUAAUCAAGUUUCUUGAUCUUAUCCAUGGUUCUAAACAAGUUAAGCAAUCCAACACAAAUUCAGCCAAAAUCUUAUUAAAGCAUGCAAUGUUGAUUUUUUUUAUAAAUAUUUUGAUAUACAAUAGAGGUUGCAAAUUUCACUGGCUUACAAUGGGUGCUGCUGUAAAAGGGAUUUUGAUUGGCAUUUUUAAAAAAUGGUCUUAGGCAGUUUCGAACCCACUAUUCUAACUAAAUCCAUAUAUUCCUCUCCACCAAGCCACUACUGUCUUUUGUUUAAUGAUAACAAAAC